AUUGAACGCUAGCGGCAGGCCUAACACAUGCAAGUCGAGCGAGCGGCGGACGGGUGAGUAAUGUAUGGGGACUGCCCGAUAGAGGGGGAUAACUACUGGCAACGGUGGCUACUACCGCAUCUUGUCGGAUAACCCAUAUGGGAUUAGCUAGUAGGUAAGGGAAUGGCUUACCUAGGCGACGAUCCCUAGAUGGUCUGAGAGGAUGAUCAGCCACACUGGGACUGAGACACGGCCCAGACUCCUACGGAGGCAGCAGUGGGGAAUUUUGCACAAUGGGCGCAAGCCUGAUGCAGCCAUGCCGCGUGUAUGAAGAAGGCCCUAGGGUUGUAAAGUAUUUUCAGUCGGGAGGCGUUACCGACAGAAGAAGCACCGGCUAACUCCGUGCCAGCAGCCGCGGUAAUAC
rnacentral:rRNA from 1 species